GUCCUUGUAGCUUAAACAAAGUAUAACACUGAAGAUGUUAAGAUGGUUGCCAAACAACACCCGAGGACA
rnacentral:tRNA from 1 species